AGCUCCAAUAGUGUAUACUAAAGUUGCUGCAGUUAAAAAGCUCGUAGUUGAAACUCGGUUAAUGGAUAGAUAGUCUAUAUUCUAUAUAUACGCACUGUUUAUCUGUUUCCUUUUUUUCUUAGUCUAUUUACCUCAAAAGGGUGGUAUUCUAAGAUAUUUUACUUUGAGAAAAUUAGAGUGUUCAAAGCAGGCGUAACAUUGCCUUUGAAUAUAUUAGCAUGGGAUAAUGAAAUAAGACUUUUUGCCUUGUUUUCGUUGGUUCAUAGGGCUUAAGUAAUGAUUAAUAGGGAUAGUUGGGGUCAUUAGUAUUUAAUAGUCAGAGGUGAAAUUCUAAGAUUUAUUAAAGACUAACUACUGCGAAAGCAUUUGACAAGGAUGUUUUCA
rnacentral:rRNA from 1 species